CUGAGCUGCAGCCAUCAGAAAUAAUUCCUAUUGACCUUCUGCUCUUGUGUUACUGCCUCAAGAACAUGUUUGUCACCUUCAGGUCAUUUCUAUGCUCAACUACUAAGAGAUCAUGAGAGGAAUAGCUGCCUUCCUUCAGCUUCCCUAGUCAGAAGAAAGGCAAUUUGUCUGUGCAGCCUGGGCAGGGGAUCCGCCUGGAGCAAAGCUGACCCCACAGGUGGGAAACAUCUGACUUCAGAGUGAUGUGGGAGCCAGAAAGGUCCUUUAGCACCUCCACCAGCAUCUGGAUGGGUUGGCCUGCAGUUCUCUGGCUCCAGACAUUGGUGAACCAGUGAUUAAUAAGACCACACCCAGAAGAGAGCAAUUCAAAGCACCAUCUCAUUAAACUAGAUUUGAAGUAUUUUUAUAAUCUCCUCAAACUAGAUUUUAUAUCAUGAAUUGACUUAGAUUUGGACUUCCAAAAAGCAUACUGUUAGAAAUCCCAGCAAAGAGGAUUGGAGAAAAUGAGAACCCGUCAAUUCUAUCUUUCUCCAAACUGCUUCUACCAUCAUUGGUUCUACUCAAUGCCUUAGGUCAUUUUCCAUGCUACUGAGUCGUGGACUUUCCUGAGCUGGGGACAUCCACAAGACCAAGCUCUGCAGUUCCAAAGGACUCAAGCAGAAGAAGAAACAAGGAGCAGGAGGCAGUGAGAACCUCAAGCCAGUUGAUGCUCUUCAACAAGUCUGAAACACAAAGGCAUCUCUGGGAAAGGACUUGGGUCAGGGGCCACUGAGGGACCAGGAGGAGCCUUUGCCAGCACGUAAGACUUCAUCCCGCCUCUGCCUCCCCCUCAGCAGCCACUUGCAGAGGAGAUGAGGAUGAUGGAGAAUCCCAGAGACUCAGCCACUCCUUCCUACCCCAGCCCUCCCCACUAAAACCCAGACUUGAACCACUGCCGCACAUAGACCCCGGGGGAUGGGCUCCUUGGCUUGCCAUGUCUCCUAGCCCAUGUUGCCCUUAGAAGGAUGGGGUUUGUGGUGGGCUGUCCCAGCUUGUGCCUGGACCUUGUUCAAGGAGCAGAGAGGCUGGCUUCUGAUGCCAAAUGGCGGUUGGGCAGGACAAUGCUCUUUGCGGGUACCUUACCCACCCCCUUCACCAGCGAGCUCUCUUCCCGAAAGAAAUUUUGAGAUAAAACAGUACAUGAGGGGAUCCCUGGAUGGCUCCGUGGUUUAGUGCCUGCCUUCUGCCCAAGGCGUGGUCCUGGAGUCCUGGAAUAGAGUCCCACGUCGGGCUCCCUACAUGGAGCCUGCUUCUCCUUCUGCCUGUGUCUCUGCCUCUCUCUCUCUGUGUCUCUCAUGAAUAAAUUUUUUAAAAAAGUACAUGAAUCAAUAAAGAAGUAUAAUGCAAGAACCGGAAAA